CGAGGCAAUUCAAACUAGGUCGCGUGUUCGAGCCUGGCCAACAGCGGUAGGGUUUUUCAUGGCGGGCACGGAUGAAUCGCUCGACAGCCUCCUCGACAGUGCUCUGGACGAUCUAACGAGGGAUUUGGCAGCGAGCUCAAUGACAAGGCAGAGUGAAGAGGCGCCGGUCACUCCGAGCGAGAAUCCAGCGGGUCUGGGGAAGGGAUUGCCGUCAUUGCAACAAUCCAAGAAGAAAUCCAUGGCGAAGGCGGCACCACCGGCCGAUCCAUUGGCCGCGACGCUAGAGAAACUCGCUGAGACGACGAAGAACACGGUCAAUAGCAUCGAUUCACAGCCGGACGAAGGCCUUUUGGAAAGUCUGCUAGGAAGACAGGACUUGGAAUCCUUGGUGGGGAAUUUUAUGCAGCAAAUCCUUUCCAAGGAAAUCCUCCACGAGCCAAUGAAGGAGAUUGGCGAGAGAUAUCCUUCUUGGCUAGAAGCCAACAAAUCCAAGCUCAGCAAGGAAGAUCACGACCGAUUUUCCAAGCAGCACCAACUUAUCCUGGAACUUUGCCGAGUCUACGACACCACUCCAGGCGAUUUCGACAAGAUCACGGAGCUCAUGCAGAGCAUGCAGGGCUGCGGACAGCCGCCAGCUGAGAUUGUCGCGGAGCUUGCUCCUGGAUUGCAACUCGGCGAAGAUGGAUUGCCACAGCUGCCUAUUCUCCCUGGAGAACAAGGAGGCGAGAAUGCAAACUGUAGCGUAAUGUAGAUGGGAUGCGACGUACCACCACGCUGAGGCCGUUGCAAGCUCAACCGGAAAACAAGAAGAGAACAGCAUGCAAAGAUGAUGUUUUUUUGCCAGCAGUUUCAUCUCAGUGGCAUUUUCCUUGGCACCAUCGCCUCCCGGGACGCAAUCCAUGGCCGGUUCCUGUUCGCCGAGAUCCAGACUUGCAGUUCUUGAGGCUGUCGGGACGAGUGAGUUGCAAGCGUUGCUUCUCGUUGGCUGCGCAGGGAGUUCCAGGUAUCUGUUUCUUCCACUUCUUUCGUGCUGUUUCCAUUCUAACUGUGAGAGACAUGUUUGAUGAAGGCAUCCGCGUGACAGUGUCGUGCGGCUCCGCCUCGGCCGAGAGCGAGACCAGCUUCUUUGGAAAUUUCUGGAUCGACGUUACUUUCAACCGGAGGAGAUCCAAGAAAUGCAAGCUUGGAGUAGACAGCGACUCCCUGCCAGAGUCCUGCCGCCCGGAGUCCGCCGUGGAGGAGAUCGACGUCUCGGGGCUCCGUCAAGGCUUCGAUUUCUAUCGCUGCAGCAGCUUUAACUUCGAGUCCCACUGCAACCAUGGUCAUCCACACUUGCCAAAACCACAGCCUCCUCGCUUUGUUCCACCACCCUUUUCAUCGUUAUCACCGCCGCCACCCGUCCCAUCACCACCACCACCACCAUCUCCCCCACCACCAUCUCCGCCACCACCGCCACCACCAUCUCCGCCACCACCAUCACCAUCGCCACCUCCACCACCGCCACCACCACCACCACUACCGCUACCGCUACCACCACUUCACCCACUUCCACCGAGAACCAUCGUACCACCACCAUCACCGCCGCCGCCGCCACCGCCACCACCACCCUGCUGAUCUAACUAGUUUCCUUCUCGGUCUAGAUAACCUUCCACUGUAACUCUUUUGACGUUCCAAAUCUAGUCUACAAUCCUGGAACACAGGAAACUAUUAGAAGAGAGGGAGAGAUUUCUCUUGUUACCAACCUUUGCAUGCCAAGAGAAUGGAUUCAUCGCGAGGACAGCACGCGCUAUUGCGCUCUACGCACAAACGAAUAAACAAAAACGUUAGAAACCUU